rnacentral:tRNA from 1 species
GAGACUAUAGUAUAUGUAAGUAUUAUUUAUUUUCAAUAAAUAGGAGUUGAGUCUUA